AGCCGCGGUAAUUCCAGCUCCAUUGGCGUAUAUUAAAGUUGUUGCGGUUAAAAAGCUCGUAGUUGGAUCUGUGUAUCGGACGGUCGGUUCGCCGCUCGCGGUGUUUGACUGACCGGUUCGGACGUCAUGCCGGUGGGACCUCGGCGCAAGCUGGGGUUCCGUAACUUACCCUCCGCGCUGCUCUUAACCGAGUGGUUCGGUGGGCCGGCACGUUUACUUUGAACAAAUUUGAGUGCUCAAAGCAGGCCUUAUGUUGCCUGGAAACUGUGUGCAUGGAAUAAUGAAAGAGGACCUUGGUUCUAUUUUGUUGGCUUUUCUGAACUCGAGGUAAUGAUUAAUAGGGACAGACGGGGGCAUUCGUAUUGCGACGUUAGAGGUGAAAUUCUUGGAUCGUCGCAAGACGGACCGAUGCGAAAGCGUUUGCCAAGAAUGUUUUCGCUAAUCAAGAACGAAAGUUAGAGGUUCGAAGGCGAUUAGAUACCGCCCUAGUUCUAACCAUAAACGAUGUCAGCCAGCGAUGCGCCGAUGUUCCUCCGAUGACACGGCGCGCAACUUCCGGGAAACCAAAGCUUUUGGGUUCCGGGGGGAA
rnacentral:rRNA from 1 species